UCUUCGUAGGUGAACCUGCGGAGGGAUCAUUACAGAGUUCAUGCCCUACCGGGUAGAUCUCCCACCCUAUGUUAUUAUUACUUUGUUGCUUUGGCGGGCCGUUAGGCUCCGGCCCGACUACCGGCCCCGGCUGGUAAGCGCCCACCAGAGGACCCAAAACCCUGAAUAUUAGUGUCGUCUGAGUACUAUAUAAUAGUUAAAACUUUCAACAACGGAUCUCUUGGUUCUG
rnacentral:misc_RNA from 1 species